UACGGAGGGUCCAAGCGUUUAUCCGGAAUCAUUGGGUUUAAAGGGUCCGUAGGCGGUCUUGUAAGUCAGUGGUGAAAGCCCAUCGCUCAACGGUGGAACGGCCAUUGAUACUGCAAGACUUGAAUUAUUGGGAAGCAACUAGAAUAUGUAGUGAUAGCGGUGAAAUGACUUAGAGAUUACAUGGAAUACCAAUUGCGAAGGCAGGUU
rnacentral:rRNA from 1 species